rnacentral:rRNA from 1 species
AUUGAACGCUGGCGGAAUGCUUUACACAUGCAAGUCGAGCGGCAGCGCGGGGGCAACCCUGGCGGCGAGCGGCGAACGGGUGAGUAAUGUAUCGGAACGUACCCAGUCGUGGGGGAUAACUAUCCGAAAGGAUAGCUAAUACCGCAUACGACCUGAGGGUGAAAGCGGGGGACCGUAAGGCCUCGCGCGAUUGGAGCGGCCGAUAUCGGAUUAGCUAGUUGGUGAGGUAAAGGCUCACCAAGGCGACGAUCCGUAGCUGGUCUGAGAGGACGACCAGCCACACUGGAACUGAGACACGGUCCAGACUCCUACGGGAGGCAGCAGUGGGGAAUUUUGGACAAUGGGCGCAAGCCUGAUCCAGCCAUUCCGCGUGAGUGAAGAAGGCCUUCGGUUGUAAGAUCUUCGUCAAGGAAAGAAAACGUAAAUACUCCUAAUACGAGU